rnacentral:lncRNA from 1 species
UUUACAUGAGAUUCCAAGAGACAGAAACAUUAUGUCUUAAAGACAUGAGAAUCAUAUCUUCAUUUUUGAAUUUACAUGAGAUUCCAAAGGUCUGUAAGACUUAUAAUUCACAAGAAACGUGAAUUAGCUUUUAGCAAAUUGACAGAGUUUGGGCCAAUUUUCAUACAAAGUUACAAUGUGUAAUCAUUACGGAAUUUUGUGAUUCUAAGAGAGCGCGGUACAACCUUUCUCAAGA